rnacentral:tRNA from 1 species
UGAUCCAUGGUGUAACGGUAACACGACAGAUUUUGGUUCUGUAAUUUGAGGUUCGAAUCCUUGUGGGUCAA